rnacentral:lncRNA from 10 species
CGGAGAAAGGGACUCGCUUUCCUGGACGAGCUGCGGCAGUUCCACCACAGCAGAGGGUCGCCUUUUAAAAAAAUCCCUGCGGUGGGUGGGAAGGAGCUGGAUCUUCACGGUCUCUACACCAGAGUCACUACUUUAGGCGGAUUCGCGAAGGUUUCUGAGAAGAAUCAGUGGGGAGAAAUUGUUGAAGAGUUCAACUUUCCCAGAAGUUGUUCUAACGCUGCCUUUGCUUUAAAACAGUAUUACUUGCGAGUCUCACUCUGUCACCCAGGCUGGAGUGCAGUGGCGUGAAGUCGGCUCACUGCAACCUCUGCCUCCCAGGUUCA